rnacentral:rRNA from 1 species
AGCGAACGCUGGCGGCAGGCCUAACACAUGCAAGUCGAACGAAGUCUUCGGACUUAGUGGCGGACGGGUGAGUAACACGUGGGAACGUGCCUUUAGGUUCGGAAUAACUCAGGGAAACUUGUGCUAAUACCGAAUGUGCCCUUCGGGGGAAAGAUUUAUCGCCUUUAGAGCGGCCCGCGUCUGAUUAGCUAGUUGGUGAGGUAAAGGCUCACCAAGGCUACGAUCAGUAGCUGGUCUGUGAGGAUGACCAGCCACAUUGGGACUGGGACACGGCCCAAACUCCUACGGGAGGCAGCAGUGGGGAAUCUUGCGCAAUGGGCGAAAGCCUGACGCAGCCAUGCCGCGUGGAUGAUGAAGGUCUUAGGAUUGUAAAAUCCUUUCACCGGUGAAGAUAAUGACUGUAGCCGGAGAAGAAGCCCCGGCUAACUUCGUGCCAGCCGCCGCGGUAACAC